rnacentral:tRNA from 1 species
GCCAGCGUAUCGGCCACGGCAACCGGGCCGCGGUUGACAAGGCCGUUAGCGAUCGCCGCACGGUUCAAGACCGUGCCGUCGGCA